CAGGGUCAUCCACGAUUCCAAGUCGAAAAAUUGGUGUUCGUUUCAACUGGAGAGCUUGUCGUUUUUCACAAGCAUUACCAAAGUUUAUUUUUAAACGCGCUUCGAUUCUGCCCGUUAAUGUCGUCAAUCGACCAUUGGCAUGACUGGAAUGGGUUCGAGUUUAUGACUUUAUUUGACAAUACAUGUACAUACAUGGCCACUUCAGCUAAAAGGCGCCGUCAUCAUGCCGUGGAUCCUCUUGAUGCAGCACAGUCAUGGAUAAGUUUGAAGGAUUGGGAUCCAGGUUGUGUGUGUGUUGACCCAAACAUCCCAGGCAAAGGUAGAGGUGUGCGGGCAACUGAAGUCAUUCAGAAGAACACCUUCAUAAUGGAGUACAAGGGGGAUCUGAUUUCUGCUAGUGAGGGCGAUGAAAGAGAGAUUGUAGAUCCCAGUAACUUCCGAUUUUUUUUCCAAUAUAAAGGUGAAUACUUAUGUAUCGAUGCAACAAAUGAACCACUGGCCGGAGAUGCAACACUAGGGCGCCUUGCCAAUCAUUCAUCCAAAAGACCAAAUGCAAAGGUCAAGGCGGUGGAGGUGGACGGGACCCCACACCUCUGUUUCUUUGCCAUCAGUGAAAUUCAGGUGGGAGAGGAGGUGGUAUACAAUUAUGGGGUGAGCAAUCUCCCCUUUAAAGUUGUAGAGUUCGAAAUGAAGAUUGUGAAGCAUGCCCUGAGGAAGAGCAGCCAACGGGGGGUUGGCCAAGUAGAAAACCCCGAAGAAGUGCCAGUCCGAAAUGAAGAUUGUGAAGCAUGCCCUGAGGAAGAGCAGCCAGAAGUGGUUGGCCAAGUAGAAAACCCCAAAGAAGUGCCAGAUACUUUUAUCCUUAUUGACUCUUCCUUCUUGGCUACCUUGGUAGUCUGCUUCUUAUAACUAUCCUACUUCAUCAUGGUUUGUUUCUAAUUUCCUUUAUUUUGUUUCAAAGAGUCAUCGUGUCAGGCCCAAGUCAUUCAGGUUCCCACAUAUGUCCGACUGGCACUUAGCAUAACCAUGAAUGAUCAAGAAGUUUCUCCCUGAACACCUCACCCCUUAGCCAAUGUUGGUCAAUGAGGUAUUGGCCUCCCGCUAGGCGGCGCUGGUCGUAACUAGGGUAAAUGGUUUUUUCAAGUGAUAUAAGCGACUCGCUUCAAUGUAAGCAGCGAUGAAGACGUAAAAUUUUCCUACGUUUCGCACCUUCACUGCUUGUCCAAGAUGCCAAUGCCGUGUAUGUGAUGACAUUAUGACAAUAUGGCACUGUGAAAAUCAAUUUCAAUGACAAAUUGGCAAGAAAUCGUCUGGUCUUUUUUUUGGUUGUCGUUUUUUCUACACGUACUUCAAGCUCCAUCGUCGCCGUACCCUAGUUACCACCAGCGCCACGUAGCGGUCAAUGAAGUUGUGCCGGUACCCCAUUAUUUGGCUUUUGGAUAAGUUGUGGCAAACAGUCUUAAAAAAUUAAAAAUCUUUGUUGGUCACAAAAUUGAAGGGAACCCUUGAUCAUUCAGUCAUUUGUAGUUUAAGAACUGAAGUUUUCUUUGCCAAUUCAGAAAUCAAAUUCUCCUCUCGAAGAUCAUUGAAUCUAUUUGAGAGGUUUGGGUCAAAAUAAAGGAACAUUAGCAUGAGCGAAUGAAUGUAGCCCGAUCCUUUCAAAUAACUUCAUUAUAACAAAACAUGCCACUGAAUCACCCUUUCCUACCAUAGUUAACAUGUUAAGGCUAAUUUGUAUAUCAGGUUUAGUAGGAUAGAGGUAGCCAUUGUGUAAUCCGAAUUAUGUGCCGUAUGGCAUAACUUCGGCUGCACUGCUCUACACGGAAGCAUGCGAUGGGCCAACAUUCCGCCCAAUAUUCACUAUCCACCUUAAAAUACGCUCUUCUUCCCCUGGAAAUAUGUGGAGAGUAACACUAGGCAUUUUGUUCUGGGUAUUGUUAGUGGCUCCCACAGCAAUACAUCUAAUGUGACAUCUACCACUACACAGUUUGUUAUGAACGGGAAAUCUUUUAAUACACUGCCUCCAUUAGUACUUCAUGUACAAUCGCGACUCCGGAGCCGAUACUACAGAAUACUGUCGUGAGAUUUCCUUGCGAGACCUGGAAUGGAAAAACACGUCUGUUGCCAGGAAAAUGGCAGCAGCCACUUUGAAAAAAUUGUAUGAUUAUGUUCAGAUGUGUUACAGAAUUGUCUUCUGCUUAGUGUUAUUAGUGCAAAUGAACCAUGCCAAAUUUAUUUACGUCAUGUUUAACUGACAUGAUGUUCCUAUAAAAUAAGAGAAUGUUUGCCAAUGUACAUGAGGCAUUUUCUUUUGAUGUAGCUUACAAUCAUUUGAUAUAAUUGACCUCUUCACAACCUCAUUUUUAGACAAUGGCAGCAUGGUUGAAAGCAGCCUGACGGAAACCCACCGGCACCAUCGUAUGGAGAAAGAUAUGGAAGAGGAGGUCGACCAUUCCUCUGAUGAAGAUUAUGCCCCUGGUGAUGAUGAACAAGUUUCGGACUCGGACGAUAGU